UGCCCAGCAACUCCUAUGCCUACCUCCUCGCGGUACUGGCCGGGGUACGAGUAACCUUAGGGAAGAUCGGGUAACCAACCCCCGGUGGGAACUUUGGUCGUAUGCUGACAGGGAAGG
rnacentral:ribozyme from 1 species